rnacentral:rRNA from 1 species
AUGAACGCUGGCGGCAGGCUUAAUACAUGCAAGUUGAACGGUAACAUAUUGUAGCAAUACGAUGAUGACGAGUGGCGUACGGGUGCGUAACACGUGUGCAACCUACCUUAUACCGGAACAUAACGUCGAGAAAUUGACGCUAACAUUCCAUAACAUUGCUUGAAGGCAUCUUUUAGCAAUUAAAACUCCGGUGGUAUAAGAUGGGCACGCGUUCCAUUAGCUUGUUGGUAAGGUAACGGCUUACCAAGGCUACGAUGGAUAGGGGUUCUGAGAGGAUUAUCCCCCACACUGGAACUGAGACACGGUCCAGACUCCUACGGGAGGCAGCAGUAAGGAAUAUUGGGCAAUGGAGGCAACUCUGACCCAGCCAUGCCGCGUGCAGGAAGACGGCCCUACGGGUUGUAAACUGCUUUUAAUAGGGAGUAAGGUUAGUUACGUGUAACUAAUUGCAAGUACCUAUAGAAUAAGGAUCGGCUAACUCCGUGCCAGCAGCCGCGGUAAUACGGAGGAUCCAAGCGUUAUCCGGAUUUAUUGGGUUUAAAGGGUGCGCAGGCGGACUAAUAAGUCAGUGGUGAAAUCUACAUGCUUAACAUGUAUCGUGCCAUUGAUACUGUUGGACUAGUAUGCAAAUGACGUAGCUGGAAUGUGUUAUGUAGCGGUGAAAUGCUUAGAUAUAACACAGAACACCGAUCGUGAAGACAGGUUACGAAUUUGUAAUAGACGCUCAGGCACGAAAGCGUGGGGAUCAAACAGGAUUAGAUACCCUGGUAGUCCACGCUGUAAACGAUGAUAACUUGUUGUUGGGCACAUAGUGCUCAGUGGCUAAGCGAAAGCGAUAAGUUAUCCACCUGGGGGAGUACGAUCGCAAGGUUG